rnacentral:lncRNA from 1 species
UGAACUUGAAGAGGGCAAAAGUGUCCUAGUCGUUGUGACUAAAUAUCCAAGUCUGCUAGACUUGAAGAGGGCAAAGUGUCCUUGUCUGUGUGACUAAACCUUUAGUGAAUUUACUACUUGAGUAUAAGAGUGGAGGAGUUAUUCAGUCUUCGAACCACUUAAAAUUGUUUGUCUUUGCGUGCUGAUUUUUGUUUCUUAG